CUUUGCCUACGGGAGGCAGCAGUGGGGAAUAUUGCACAAUGGGGGAAACCCUGAUGCAGCGACGCUGCGUGAAGGAAGAAGUAUUUCGGUAUGUAAACUUCUAUCAGCAGGGAAGAAAAUGACGGUACCUGACUAAGAAGCCCCGGCUAACUACGUGCCAGCAGCCGCGGUAAUACGUAGGGGGCAAGCGUUAUCCGGAUUUACUGGGUGUAAAGGGAGCGUAGGCGGUUUAGCAAGUCAGAAGUGAAAGCCCGGGGCUUAACUCCGGUACUGCUUUUGAAACUGUUGAACU
rnacentral:rRNA from 1 species